UACGAAGGGGGCUAGCGUUGCUCGGAAUUACUGGGCGUAAAGGGCGCGUAGGCGGCCCGAUUAGUCCGCUGUGAAAGUCCAGGGCUCAACCCUGGAAUGCCGGUGGAUACUGUCGGGCUAGAGUCCGGAAGGGGCGAGUGGAAUUCCUGGUGUAGCGGUGAAAUGCGCAGAUAUCAGGAGGAACACCUGUGGCGAAAGCGGCUCACUGGACCACAACUGACGCUGAGGCGCGAAAGCUAGGGGAGCAAACAGG
rnacentral:rRNA from 1 species